rnacentral:rRNA from 2 species
CACGUAGGAGACAAGCGUUAUCCGGAUUUACUGGGUGUAAAGCGCGUGUAGGCGGCUCUGUAAGUUGGAUGUGAAAGCUCCUGGCUUAACUGGGAGAGGUUGUUCAAGACUGCAGGGCUUGAGGGUAACAGAGGGGAGUGGAAUUCCGAGUGUAGCGGUAAAAUGCAUAGAUAUUCGGAAGAACACCAGUGGCGAAAGCGGCUCUCUGGGUUACAUCUGACGCUCAGACGCGAAAGCUAGGGGAGCAAACGGG